UCUAAGGCAGCAGAAAAGUUGUGCAUGUGUAUUUAUUUUUUCUAACUAACAUUUUUUUCUAUUAUUUUUAUUUCCAACUGACUCAGUUUUAUUUUAAUCGAGAGCCCUUAGGACUAGUUGUAACGAUAUGAAUGGUUAAAGUGGGAAGAGCUCAAGGCUCGAGAAUACUCUCUCCUCGGAAGAAAAUACCAGACAUCCCAGAGAAACAGCCGUGCAGAGCUGAAAAGUUUGGAGCUGUGCUGCAGCUCGGUUCUGGUACUGCCCUCAGGACUCCCAAAUUCCCAGGCAACGGCCACACAAGCGAUGAUGACAACAGCAGCAAAUACGAGGCUCCUCGCCGCCUGCUCUAUUUGAAAGCAAACCCGCUCUCUUUUUCGUCAGGCAACCCCAGACAGAAGUGGCAACUAAAGCUUUAAACCCUUUGGAAAUUCCUUUCUGAUUUAAGAGAGCCAGGGGGCUUUCGUCCUCUCCCUGCCGUUGGUUGUGAGGAAGGGCAACAAAAGAGAGGAGCCAGACUUUGCCAGGUGUCAGGAAGAUGAGUCUUUAUCGAAGAGUAACCAGCAUUGCCACUCUCCAUAGGCCCUUUACCACCUUUGAAAGAGACUUUCUUGGUGCCUGCAAGAAUCUCGGGCUGCACCCAAGGAGUUUCUGUGGAGUACGUUUCUCCUGGAUGACUUAAAAAAGUGACAGCAGAUUACUGUGGAUGUUCUAAGUUCCCAAGCAAGGAUACCAGCAUGACUUCAACUGGGACACAC